rnacentral:rRNA from 1 species
CUCGUAGUUGGAUUUCUGUUAAUAAUUUAUAUAAAAUAUUUUGAUGAAUAUUUAUAUAAUAUUAACAUAAUUCAUAUUACUAUAUAUUUUAGUAUAUGAAAUUUUACUUUGAGAAAAUUAGAGUGCUUA